rnacentral:tRNA from 1 species
CUCCCCUUGGUGUAGUUGGUUYAUCACGUUCGACUGUAAUGGUUACAUUGUCAUCGAAAGGUCUCUAGUUCGAUUCUGGAAGGGGAGA